rnacentral:lncRNA from 1 species
CCCCCCCACCGACGACCCUUGACACAGUCGUAGCCCCGCCUUGUGCUAAGACCGACUGCUGCCCCUCCUUGUCUCAUGAAGGUGACCCGGCUCUCUUGAGAUCCUCUCCACUAGUCAGUCCCCCCGCCCCCACUGCCCCUUCGUUUUCCUUACAUUUUUGUGCUUAAAUCAGGGACCGCCCCCCCACCCCUUGUCUGUCCCUUUCUCUUCCUCUCCAUUCUCUCCCAGGUUCGGGGAGCACAGACGCCCUCGGAGCUCACUUUCUUCCCCGGGCUUUCCGGGCCUCCUCGAGAGGACGCCCUGUGCUUCGUGAGCGGUGCAAGCCCCCAAUCCUGGGCUUUAUCGGUGAUCUGUGUACCCCUCAGACUGCGUGAGGCCUUUCACUCAUUUCCUAGUUGUCCUCCGUUUUUGAUCCCCGGACCAGAGGUCCUGGCCACUCGACGGCUCUGCAGGCACCACGAUCCUCUGACCCCAGCCCAGGUGGCGUGGGUUGCCAGAACUCCGGGCCCACCUGCUCUCAAGUGCUGGGAUCAGUAAACCCAUCCAAGCCAAGAAGGCAGGAAGACGGAGCGUAGAAAACCUUCUGUGCUGGGGUUCGGGAGACGUGGAUUCCGGCUCCAGCCCUCGCGAGCCCUGGGGUUUGAGCCAAGACCUUAACCUCUCUGGGCCUCAGAGGCCCUCUGUUCAAACGGGGGUCACGGUGCCCACCCCCGCUCAUGAGGACUGAGUGAGAACGCACUCUUUGUAAUCUCCAGUCUCAACACCUGCGAACUCCUUGAGGACCGAAAACUGCCUUCUUCUCCAUAAUCCUCCUCCGUAAAACCAAAGAAACAGUUACGGUGGAGGGCUUCACGGCGCUUACACAGUUUUCUUGCGGGACCCCGACCGCCGCACUCUUCUGGGUUGAGUAGUGACUUCAUGAUUCUGUUCGUUUGGCCCCUGAUGUUUGCUGAUCACUUACUGUGUACCCGGCCAUGUGCAAGGGUUUGGUUGACAAUGAUGAGAAAAGCCAAGACAGCCUUCAUCAUCCGGAGAUCCAGGUAUUAGUGGGACGUACCCAUUACGUAGAUACACACACGCACACGUACAAAUUGAGUUCCAAGAAGAAAAACAAAAAAAAAAAGGAAAAAUGGAUGAAUGUGUUGGGAGGAGGGGCCCAAGUUGGUUUGUGGAGAAUGGGCUAGAAGGUGUCUCCGAGGUGGGGCAUGGCCGACGAAGCCUGAAGGCUGAGUAAGGAGCUGGCCAAAGAGUGGGGAUGGGGUGGGGGGGUGGGGUUCCAAGUAAAAUCCUAUUUUUUUUUUUAGAAUUGCACCUGUAGCAUAUGGAAUUUCCUGGGUCAGGGAUUGAAUCUGAGCUGCAGCUGUGACCUACACCACAGCUGCAGCGAUGCCAGAUCCUUUAACCUACUGCGCUGGACCAAGGAUCAAACCAGCACCUCUGUUGAGAGCCGAGCUACUGCCAUGGAUUUUAACCCACUGUGCCACAGUGGGAACUCCCCAAAAUCCAUCUUCAGGUAAAUGUUUGGAUUCCAUUGGAGGGAUCAGUUCUGCCACUACAUUUUAUUAAGAGAGUUUUGAAGCAAGGGCUCCAAAAGGAAUUGCCGCGUCAGGCUCCCGGCCACAGGCAAGCUGGAAGCGGAGAUUUUCAAGUCA